AUUGAACGCUGGCGGCAUGCCUUACACAUGCAAGUCGAACGGCAGCACGGGAGCAAUCCUGGUGGCGAGUGGCGAACGGGUGAGUAAAGUAUCGGAACGUGCCCAGUCGUGGGGGAUAACGUAGCGAAAGUUACGCUAAUACCGCAUACGAUCUAUGGAUGAAAGCGGGGGAUCGCAAGACCUCGCGCGAUUGGAGCGGCCGAUAUCAGAUUAGGUAGUUGGUGGGGUAAAGGCUCACCAAGCCGACGAUCUGUAGCUGGUCUGAGAGGACGACCAGCCAAACGGGGACUGAGACACGGCCCAGACUCCUACGGGAGGCAGCAGUGGGGAAUUUUGGACAAUGGGCGAAAGCCUGAUCCAGCCAUGCCGCGUGCAGGAUGAAGGCCUUUGGGUUGUAAACUGCUUUUGUACGGAACGAAAAGGUUUGGCCUAAUAAGCUGAGCUCAUGACGGUACCGUAAGAAUAAGCACCGGCUAACUACGUGCCAGCCGCCGCCGUAA
rnacentral:rRNA from 1 species